rnacentral:rRNA from 1 species
CCCUUCGGGGGCCGAGUAGAGUGGCGCACGGGGAGUAACACGUAGGUAAUCUACCUCUGGGUGGGGAAUAACAGUCGGAAACGGCUGCUAAUACCGCAUAAUGCAGCGGCACCACAUGGUGACAGUUGUUAAAGCGGGGGAUCGUAAGACCUCGCGCCUAGAGAUGAGCCUGCGGCAGAUUAGCUAGUUGGCAGGGUAACGGCCUACCAAGGCGACGAUCUGUAGCCGGCCUGAGAGGGCGGACGGCCACACUGGCACUGACAUACGGGCCAGACUCCUACGGGAGGCAGCAGUCGGGAAUUUUGGGCAAUGGGCGAAAGCCUGACCCAGCAACGCCGCGUGAAGGAUGAAGCUUUUCGGAGUGUAAGCUUCAUAAGAAUGGGACGAAUAAGGAGGGGUUAACACCCCCUUUGAUGACGGUACCAUUUGUAAGCUCCGGCUAACUCCGUGCCAGCAGCCGCGGUAAUACGGGGGGAGCAAGCGUUGUUCGGAUUUACUGGGCGUAAAGGGCGCGUAGGCGGCGCAACAAGUCACUUGUGAAAUCUCCGGGCUUAACCCGGAGCGGCCAAGUGAUACUGUCGUGCUAGAGUGCGGAAGGGGCUACUGGAAUUCUCGGUGUAGCGGUGAAAUGCGUAGAUAUCGAGAGGAACACCUGCGGCGAAGGCGGGUAGCUGGGCCGACACUGACGCUGAGGCGCGAAAGCCAGGGGAGCGAACGGGAUUAGAUACCCCGGUAGUCCUGGCCUUAAACGAUGGAUACUUGGUGUCCGGGGUUACAUAGUCCCCGGGUGCCGGCGCU